GCAGCGAUGAAAAAAAAUAUACGAUUGAGGAUACUUUUGCUGGUUUGCCGUGACAAUAGUGGCGAUCGACGACAGUAUUGUCGUUGGCUAUCAGCAGGUGAGACCAUCUGGAUUUGAGCCAAAAUGGUCUUUGUGAGAUCAGUUCACAAUUGUUUGUUUGUUUGGUUUUUAAAAAGUUGUAAUACGCCGUACAUGAUUUGAAACGAUAAAAAAAUAACGUAUAAAAUACGGGGAAAACGUAAACGUUGACAGGUAUGGAUUUACAAAAGGAUUUUGAUGACAUCCACCGCACAUAUACAGAAUUUGUCGGCCUGCACCUGGAUCAAAUCCACCAAAAUUGUGUUACGCCACCUGCGCCACAACUUAGACCCGGUUUCACCCGGUCUAAAAUCGAGUUUACUUUCCGUCGCCAAAUUGUCGGCAGCACGGUGGACUUGUAAUGGAAAACGGCAUAAUUCCCUGCGAUGUCAAGCCAAAUUACCAAACCCCGUCAACUCGACUUCCCCCUGGCACAAAAAUGAAGACGCACCAGUUCUUACAUCGAGCACGCGUGCGCCUGUGUACGAAAAUAGAGCACCCGAGGCUUUCCAUUGUCAUCUGUGCCAUAAUGAUUUUUUUUUUUUAAUGUAUUACUUGAGUGACACAGAAACAGAGAAAGCAGCAUGUUUGCCUCGGCCCGGGUUAUUAUGAACAACCUUGAAAGCAGUUUGCAUUCAAAAGGGAAAUCUUUUGCUACGUUUGUUUUUCCUCAUAAAGCUUGACACCAGAAUGUAGCAGGGUUUUUUUUUUACCCGCUUCCGUCCCUCUCGCAUUUUGCUUACUCGGCCCUUUUCUGGUGAGCGACAUAACCUCCAGCCCUCAUAGGGAGCUUCACCGAAAUGGCAAUAAAACACACGGAUUGUUCACUCGUCUCUUUAAAUGUGUACAGUGCAGCGAAAAAGUAGUUGGCUUCUUUUUUCUUUUGCAUUGUUUCCUCACUUUAAUAUUGUCGUUCAUCAAGUACAUGUCGAUAUCAAAGAUGUCAAAGUAAACAUCAAAUGCUGUUUUGAAACGAUUCCUUUUUCCACACAAGGGCCAGCAGGUAGCUUGGAAUUGUGUUUUCAUUUUUUUUUCCGACAUAAACAGAAUCCCAAUUUUAAAACUGCAUUUCCUGUUUGUACAUUUGUUUGAUCAUCCAAAAUAUUCAAGUGGAGAAACGACCAAAAUAAGAAUUUUAGGAGGAAAAUACUUUUUCAUGCCACUGUAUAUUAACUGUAUGGAUUAUUUUUGUCCUCACCUUUCUAUUUGUGUGCGUGCGUGCGUGUGUGUGUGUGUGUGUGUACAGUUUUUUUCUCCAUCAACAUCACGUUCUUUGUCGGGAUCUCAGGUCAGCGCCGGUGAGCGCGUGAAACAGUGUCGCAUUUUGUUGUCUUCACCAAAGUGUUUUGGUCACCACAUCGCACACUGCGGCGUUGUUCUCUUGCAACAAAUGUCAUGAACUCACGCAGUGUCACGUUUUGGCCUUAGCGUUUUUAAUCAGGGAAGAAGGCCGCGCCGUGCUUUGUCCUCAACAUUUGUGAGCAGGAUGCACCCCGUGGCCCGUUUUGUCGUCAACCGUUUGCAUCACCAUUUUUGGUCCUCUGCAUGGUGGAUGACAAAACAACGGCGCGUCGUCUUUGUCUUCAACGGGUUUUGUCACCAACAAAAUCCAGGGGUUGUGCUUUUUUUUUUCUUUUGGGUGACAAUUCUUAUUUAAUCACGACAUGAUGUCUUUCACAUGGUUGGUCAUAAAACAGUGCAGGAUCAUGUUUUGUACUCAACAUUUUUUUUUUGCUUUAUCACAAAAGUAUGCAUUGUCAUGUUUUGUCCUUGAUGCCUUUUUGUGCACUGAAAAAAGUUGAGCGGGUUUUGUCUUGAACAAACUUUUGGAUGCCAAAGUCCGCUGGCAUGUUUCGUCUUGAUCAAAUGUUUUGAUUACACAAGGUUUUUUUUUUUUUGUCUUUUCUUUUGUUGUUCUCAACAACCCUGUUGAUCAGAAAAAUGGAUGGUCACAUUUCCUCUUCAACAACUUCCUUGAUCUAUUGUCAUGUUGUCCUCAAUAUUUUUGGAGAUGGAACAAUGCAUGGUCAUGGAUUUUUUUUUUAAAUGACCCAAUGCAUCAUGUUCUACCUUCAGCAAACUUUUUGUUGACAAAAUCCAUUGUGUUUUAUCUACGGCAAAGUUUUUGAUGUCGAAAUGCAUUGUCCUGGUGUACAAACUUCCUGAUGACUCACAGCAUGAUCAUUUUUGACGGUUGACAAACUUUUUGAUGACGAAAAGCAAUCGCGUUUUACCCCCCUACAAAUUUCAAGGACAAAAUGGAUUGUUUUACCUCGAGCAAACUUUUUGCUGACAAAAUCCAUCAUGGUGUAUUGUCUUCAUGGACCCCUUGAAGACAACGGUGCCUUGUCAUGUUUUUGAAGGUCAACCGCCUUCAUCGCGUAUCGUCUUCAGGGACCUUCUGAAGACCAAACGAUCCAUUGUGGUACGAUUCCUAUGAGUGAUCUUCCACCUUUAUGCGAGUGUCCUCAGGCGCUGUCCACUUGACAAAUUUGUUUACCCGUGUAUGGACUUUUUAUUUUAUUUUUUAUUCUUUUAUCGCUGUUCUUGGGGGAGAGUGCAGGCUCCAAACGUGUUCUGCAAUGCUGUGGUCUUUGUACACAAUUAGUCUGUUACACAAUAACGUCAGCUUCCACUGAAAAAUACAACACCUACACACCCCCAUCAUUUUU